AUUUUGAAUCGCGGUGUGAGGAAGAUUUUAGCUUGCCUUUGGCCCUCUGUUCUCGUGUUGAGGGUUCAACAUUCGAACACGCGGAGAGCUGUUUUUCCCAAGCUGGGCCAAGCCCUUCCAACUUCUGCCAAAGCGCUCUCGCCAGCCGGAGAUCACACAAGAAUCAUGCUAAGUGUGCCUGGCAAGAUGAGGCUUCUCUCAACUAUUUUCUUGGUGGUGAUCCUAAACGUGUUGACUGGUGAAGUUUCUGCCAAUAACCAGAGUACCGCAGAGCUGAGUGGGAAUACCUUUUGCCCAGCAUCAUCGGCCAUAACUAGUGUAUCAAUCCCUUCAAGCCUCUACUUGAAUUACACUUCAGCAAAAGCACUGUGCAGCAGGAACAAUGGCACAAUUCUCUCUGAAUCUUCGUUCCAAGCUGGCUGCUCCCCUCGCAAUGUCUUUGCAUGGAGAGGAUUGCCAAAUGCCGAGAACAAAGCAUUAACCACCUAUGGCAAUUCACAUGUCCUAGCAGCGCGUUUACGUGUUGUGUGUGAAAUACCUCUGCGCUGUAAUGUACCUUAUAUUGCCAAUGGUACUGCUGACAGAACAGUGGUGAAAGUCUCCCACAAUGUUACAUUUUCAUGCCAAGAGGGUCAGGGGAUUGUGGGUGAUGCCACACCAAGUUGCUUGCUUAAUGGAAGUCUCACUUCAGUGCCAUACU